rnacentral:rRNA from 1 species
CCUACGGGGGGCAGCAGUGAGGAAUAUUGGUCAAUGGACGAGAGUCUGAACCAGCCAAGUAGCGUGAAGGAUGACUGCCCUAUGGGUUGUAAACUUCUUUUAUAUGGGAAUAAAAUGUUCCACGUGUGGGAUUUUGUAUGUACCAUAUGAAUAAGGAUCGGCUAACUCCGUGCCAGCAGCCGCGGUAAUACGGAGGAUCCGAGCGUUAUCCGGAUUUAUUGGGUUUAAAGGGAGCGUAGGUGGAUUGUUAAGUCAGUUGUGAAAGUUUGCGGCUCAACCGUAAAAGUGCAUUUGAAACUGGCAGUCUUGAGUACAGGAGAGGUAGGCGGAAUUCGUGGUGUAGCGGUGAAAUGCUUAGAUAUCACGAAGAACUCCGAUUGCGAAGGCAGUUCACUGGACUGCAACUGACGCUGAGGCUCGAAAGUGUGGGUAUCAAACAGGAUUAGAUACCCUUGUAGUC